rnacentral:misc_RNA from 1 species
UCUCCGUUGGUGAACCAGCGGAGGGAUCAUUACAGGACUCGCAAGACUCCUUCACCCUGUGAACCUCACUACAAGCACGUUGCUUCGGCGGGUGUCCCGGCGGGGGUUUUCCCUCGCCGGGGCGCACAGCCCGACGGCAGUCUACUAUACUCUGUCUCUUUGCGUUGGCAUCUCGAGAAAAAACAAACAAGUUAAAACUUUCAACAACGGAUCUCUUGGUUCUG